rnacentral:rRNA from 1 species
GUAGGGUGCGAGCGUUGUCCGGAUUUAUUGGGCGUAAAGGGCUCGUAGGUGGUUGAUCGCGUCGGAAGUGCAAUCUUGGGGCCUAACCCUGAGCGUGCUUUCGAUACGGGUUGACUUGAGGAAGGUAGGGGAGAAUGGAAUUCCUGGUGGAGCGGUGGAAUGCGCAGAUAUCAGGAGGAACACCAGUGGCGAAGGCGGUUCUCUGGGCCUUUCCUGACGCUGAGGAGCGAAAGCGUGGGGAGCGAACAGGCUUAGAUACCCUGGUAGUCCACGCUGUAAACGGUGGGUACUAGGUGUGGGGUCCAUUCCACGGGUUCCGUGCCGUAGCUAACGCUUUAAGUACCCCGCCUGGGGAGUACGGCCGCAAGGCUA